AUUGAUACACCAGAUCCUAUAUGAUUACCAAAGUUAAGCAAUGUUGAGCCUGGUCAGUAACUAGUUGGGUGACUGCUUGUGAAUACUAGGUGCUGUAA